rnacentral:rRNA from 1 species
AACGAACGCCGGCGGCAGGCCUAACACAUGCAAGUCGAACGGAUCCUUCGGGAUUAGUGGCGGACGGGUGAGUAACACGUGGGAACGUGCCCUUUGGUUCAGAACAACUCAGGGAAACUUGAGCUAAUACCGGAUGUGCCCUUCGGGGGAAAGAUUUAUCGCCAUUGGAGCGGCCUGCGGCCUAUCAGCUUGUUGGUGGGGUGGCGGCCUACCAAGGCGACGACGGGUAGCUGGUCUGAGAGGAUGGUCAGCCAGACAGGGACGGAGACACGGCCCUGACUCCUUUGGGGGGCAGCAAUGAGGGAUAUUGCGCAAUGGGCGAAAGCCUGACGCAGCGACGCCGCGUGGGUGAGGAAGUCCUUCGGGAUGUAAAGCCCUUUUGACGGGGACGAGAACGGACGGUACCCGUCGAAUAAGCCCCGGCUAACUACGUGCCAGCCGCCGCGGUAACAC